rnacentral:rRNA from 1 species
ACGCUCGACACCUACGGGAGCAGCAGUCGGGAAUAUUGCGCAAUGGAGGAAACUCUGACGCAGUGACGCCGCGUAUAGGAAGAAGGUUUUCGGAUUGUAAACUAUUGUCGUUAGGGAAGAAAAAGGACAGUACCUAAGGAGGAAGCUCCGGCUAACUACGUGCCAGUAGCCGCCGGUAAGUACUGAGCGGGCGUGGCGAAGGAC